GAAAGGCCAAUCAAACAGGGAGAUAGCUGGUUCUCCCCGAAAGCUAUUUAGGUAGCGCCUCGUGAAUUCAUCUCCGGGGGUAGAGCACUGUUUCGGCUAGGGGGCCAUCCCGGCUUACCAACCCGAUGCAAACUGCGAAUACCGGAGAAUGUUAUCACGGGAGACACACGGCGGGUGCUAACGUCCGUCGUGAAGAGGGAAACAACCCAGACCGCCAGCUAAGGUCCCAAAGUCAUGGUUAAGUGGGAAACGAUGUGGGAAGGCCCAGACAGCCAGGAUGUUGGCUUAGAAGCAGCCAUCAUUUAAAGAAAGCGUAAUAGCUCACUGGUCGAGUCGGCCUGCGCGGAAGAUGUAACGGGGCUAAACCAUG
rnacentral:rRNA from 1 species